ACUGCCGGUGACAAACCGGAGGAAGGUGGGGAUGACGUCAAAUCAUCAUGCCCCUUAUGACCUGGGCUACACACGUGCUACAAUGGGAAGUACAACGAGUUGCGAAGUCGCGAGGCUAAGCUAAUCUCUUAAAGCUUCUCUCAGUUCGGAUUGCAGGCUGCAACUCGCCUGCAUGAAGCCGGAAUCGCUAGUAAUCGCGGA
rnacentral:rRNA from 1 species